GCAUCCGUAGCUCAAUUGGCUAGAGCAUCUGACUACGGAUCAGAAGGUUCCUGGUUCAAAUCCAGGCGGAUGCGCCA
rnacentral:tRNA from 1 species